rnacentral:rRNA from 1 species
UACGGAGGGGGCGAGCGUUGUCCGAAGUUAUUGGGCGUAAAGAGCUCGUAGGUGGCCUGUCGCGUCGGCUGUGAAAACUCGGGGCUCAACUCCGAGCUUGCAGUCGAUACGGGCAGGCUAGAGUUCGGCAGGGGAGACUGGAAUUCCUGGUGUAGCGGUGAAAUGCGCAGAUAUCAGGAGGAACACCGGUGGCGAAGGCGGGUCUCUGGGCCGAUACUGACACUGAGGAGCGAAAGCGUGGGGAGCGAACAGG